rnacentral:lncRNA from 1 species
CUGCAUCUAGGCUCUGUUCUUCAGCUUCUAUUCUCCUCAUGAUCUUAUAUGUUCUGUCAAUAUCCUCUCUGGUAAGUCUCCCUUGUUGAAGCAACUGCUCAAACUUAUUCCUUCCCAAAGAGUGACCAGUUAGCACCAUUGGCACAUUUAAUGCUCCUGCCAAAUGUGCAGCUACUUCUCCUGCAUCAGCAUAGUGACCAUGGAUAACAUAAGGCCAUAUUGGUUUCCCUCCAUUCACUUGCUCUCCCAAAGACCUUGCUAUGCUCACUAUGUGAUUUAGUGCCCCAUCAACAAACUCAGGGAUAUGGGGCCAGAGUGACUCCUUUGGUAUGUACCUGUAUUUGGCAAACAUGAGUAUAGAGAAACUAACUGCUUCUUUCUCAACUUCUUUUAAAGCAGGAAUUUGAAUAAAUAAAUUCCAAGAAGUCUUAUGUGAUAGUACUUUUCCCGAGCACCGCAGGGGAUGCGGAUAAUGUAGGAGCCACAGCUGUCACUUCCUUCUGGAGGGCAUGAUAACAUCUCAACUGGCUCGCCAUAGCUGUAGUCAACCUCUGGUGAACUGAUCUGCCUUGUUAAGAGAUCAACCCUGUGGACCCCUUCAGUGUUGGCCAACGCACGAGCAAGCUCAACAACAUAUUUCACCUAUUCGUCCAUUAACAAGACUCUUCAUAUUGAUGGAAAAUUAAGAAAGCCAGAAGCAACACUUGAAGCACCGUAAAUAAUUGAAUCUUUACUACGAAGUCUACUAGAACUAGAAGAUGGUUAUAUACCUGUCCGCCAGUAUCAGAGUCUCUUCCAAGCUCCA